GCAAGCCCUAAUCCCUCUCAUUCGAUCCCAAUCAAUCCCAGCCAUGGAAGACGAUUUCGAUUUCGCCCCCGUCGAGGAGGAGAUGAUGGACGACCCGAUGGAUUUCGCUGACGACCCCGACCUCAAGGUUGGCGAGGAGAAGGAGAUCGGCAAGGAGGGGCUCAAGAAGAAGCUCAUCAAGGAGGGCGAGGGGUGGGAGAAGCCGGAGGUCGGCGAUGAGGUCGAAGUACAUUACACUGGAACUUUGCUUGACGGGAGUAAGUUUGAUUCUAGCCGUGAUCGAGGAACUCCUUUCAAGUUUAAGCUCGGCCAAGGUCAAGUAAUUAAGGGAUGGGACCAAGGCAUUAAGACUAUGAAGAAGGGCGAGAAUGCCAUCUUCACAAUCCCACCUGAGCUGGCUUAUGGCGCAUCUGGUUCUCCCCCGACCAUCCCGCCCAAUGCCACUCUUCAAUUUGAUGUAGAGUUGCUCUCAUGGUCCAGUGUGAAGGAUAUAUGCAAGGAUGGAGGUAUCAUCAAGAAGAUUCUCAAGGAAGGAGAGAAAUGGGAGAACCCAAAAGAUCUUGAUGAAGUCUUUGUGAAAUAUGAGGCUCGGCUUGAGGAUGGUACUGUGGUAUCUAAAUCUGA
rnacentral:misc_RNA from 1 species